CGGGUCGCAGCGGUAGAGAGACNUUGCUUCUCUUGAGAGCGGCGGACGGGUGAGUAAUGCCUAGGAAUCUGCCUAGUGGUGGGGGAUAACGUUCGGAAACGGACGCUAAUACCGCAUACGUCCUACGGGAGAAAGCGGGGGACCUUCGGGCCUCGCGCCAUUAGAUGAGCCUAGGUCGGAUUAGCUAGUUGGUGAGGUAAUGGCUCACCAAGGCUACGAUCCGUAACUGGUCUGAGAGGAUGAUCAGUCACACUGGAACUGAGACACGGUCCAGACUCCUACGGGAGGCAGCAGUGGGGAAUAUUGGACAAUGGGCGAAAGCCUGAUCCAGCCAUGCCGCGUGUGUGAAGAAGGUCUUCGGAUUGUAAAGCACUUUAAGUUGGGAGGAAGGGUAGUAACUUAAUACGUUGCUACUUUGACGUUACCGACAGAAUAAGCACCGGCUAACUUCGUGCCAGCAGCCGCGGUAAUACGAAGGGUGCAAGCGUUAAUCGGAAUUACUGGGCGUAAAGCGCGCGUAGGUGGUUCAGUAAGUUGAAUGUGAAAUCCCCGGGCUC
rnacentral:rRNA from 1 species